rnacentral:rRNA from 1 species
AGGACGAACGCUGGCGGCGUGCUUAACACAUGCAAGUCAAGGGGGCCCGCAAGGGCAACCGGCGAACGGGUGCGUAACACGUGAGCAACCUGCCCAUUUGUGGGGGAUAGCCGGUCCAACGACCGGGUAAUACCGCAUACGUUCACUGCACGGCAUCGUGCGGUGAGGAAAGCCUUCGGGCGCAGGUGGAGGGGCUCGCGGCCUAUCAGCUAGUUGGUGGGUAACGGCCUACCAAGGCAUCGACGGGU